CAAAUGGCGACGGGGAAGUCGAUGCAAGUUCCAUGUGUCCAAAUGCAGCGGGUUUCAGGCACAACGGGGGCGCCUCACGGAGCAGAUUAGAAGUUCAAAUACCGCUGGCGGAGCAAAAAUAAACGCACCGUUACUUGAAGCUGCUGCCGGCUAUAAGAAACUGAGCAAGCUCCGUGCGCAUAUGCCCACUGAUGUGACCUGGAGGUAAGUUAUCUUGCUGAUGUGUUAGAUUUACUUCUUUGUCCCACUUCGGUGCUUCAAGAUACUGAAUGCUAAACCGUUGUGCUGUAAAUUUUGUAUUCUAGGUGAAAAGAUCUAAGAACAUGCGUAUAGGACAUAUGAUGUGCUUCAUAUGCGUAUGUACUUGUCGAUGUGGUGUUACUUGUACGAUGUCGUGAUUGUUGAACAUGUUUUACGUGUUCUUGACGCCUGCCUAAUUUGUUCCGUUAAAAUCUGUUCCAGCAGAGAUGGUCACUUCUGGGCACACCAUCCUUCCUGGCCAAGUUGCGUGGAAAGGCAUCCAAGACACGCAUGGCCUUGGAUCACUUGCUGAAAGAAGACCCAGGAGGGGGCAUCUCUUUUACAUGGCUCCUCGUGACACAGAGAGUAUACUGUGUAUCAGCCCUGCAGGGGCAGCAAGCUGAAGAACAGAGCCACAACCUACGAAGAAGUUCUGGGGAUUGUUUCGAAAGCAGCAGAAGUAUUCAACAGACUUCACAGAUUUUUCCACCCUUUCUCUGUAUGUACAAUAAAUGCU